rfam:Stegodyphus mimosarum contig68133, whole genome shotgun sequence.
UUAAAAAAGAAAUGGGUAUUUAAAUAAUUGAAAAUGAGGAAUAUAGUUUUAAAAGUUUCGUUAAUUAAAACUUCUGAGAAUCGAAUACAUGUCUAUAACUUACGGAACCAAUAGACAGUAAAUUUUUGAUGGCGUCAGAGGUCAUGUGAGCAUGCGUAACUAUGACGUUACAAAAAUCAUAUGAUCUCUGACUUCAUUUGCGACUUUUUGAGUCUUCUUUUGUUACUUUAGUUGAAAAUUUUCUGGCAACACUGGUCGGUGGUAGGCUACGUACCUACCAUGUUCGUAACGGGUGACGGAGAAUCAGGGUUCGAUUUCCGAAAAGAAGCCUAAAAAACGGAUACCACAUCCAAGAAAAGCAGAAGGCGCGCAAAUUUACACACUCCUAGAACGGGGGGGGGCUAGUAACGAAAAAUAACAAUACGGGGAAUCUUUUGUGAUCUCAUAAGUGGAAAGAGUACAUUCUAAAUACUUUAACGAGGAUCAACUGGGGGGGGGCAAGUCUAGUGCCAGCAGCCGAGGGAACUCCUCUAG